rnacentral:lncRNA from 1 species
AGAGAAGAGGAGAGAUGUUCGCAAUUACUACCACAAGAAAGCCGCCCCCUAUCUUCUAAAGGGGCCCGUCACUUCGUUCGUACCUUCUUGGCUUAGGCUUCCAACUGAACAACAUGGCCUUGCCGCCCCGCCACUAGCAGAAGCUAAGCGCUUGAAAAGCGCGCUAAGAAAGGUUGCUUCUGUCGCCCUUUCUGUGCAACAGUCCACCAGUAGCGGAAGAGAGGGUUACCGUACAUACAAGAGUCUUCCAGUUCUUACGGAAGCUCUUUCUUACCAGUCAAUCAAGUAGUACAAGAACUGUAUCUUAUCUUAUAGCCCCGCGCGGCGGGUCGCCUAUUAAAUUAAGUAGAUAGAAGAAAGUAUUAAAUAGAUAAGGAGUAGGUGAGUGAGUGAGUCCUCACUGACCUGAGCGAUUUCGAUCACCUAGCAGGCCUUUUAUUUGGUAGGUAACAUCGCCAAAGCGUAUCAUCAGAUUUGACUACGAAGGAAGGAACUCGAAGUGAAAGGGCACCGUCUUGUGCAAGGCAACGAUAGUUGGCCCUCUAUCAUCUUCUAUCUGGUAGACUUGGUAAAAGGGCCCCGACUUAUUUGCAGAAUAAGAGUUCGACCGCGGCUUCUCCCUUUUUUUGGGGGGGAUCAAGUUCCUUGCCAACUGCCACUUAUCGACCCCGACCUCUUUUCAUUUGUUUUGGAUAUUACCAAACUUAGCCUAGCCUUCGUAAAUCGCACUAAAGCGGACACCCAACUAUGGAAAAGCCUCCUUAAGGGUGGAUUAGGUUAGUCAAUCCGGCCCGAGACGCGUUCGUUGACAAAACCGCCAUAGGAAUUCCUACUUUUCAAUAGAGCGGAGGCGAACUGAUCAACGAGAAAGAGGCCCUACUCACUACAAACGAAUACACCACAAGAUCGAACUGCACUCAUGCCUCUCCCGCAUCAAGUUGACCGCCCCCCCUACGUAGUGAUUCUAUCAAUCAUGUACGUAG